ensembl:miRNA
AAUUGAGAUGGCCAAAAAUUUCGUUCAGGUUUUCUUGCAUGGUAGUGUCAAAAACGCAAAUGAACUUUUUGGCCAACCCAAU